CACCACAGCCUUAUCACCCUGUAGCCCAAGAACAGUUAUUCACUGAAGCUAAGCAGGGCUUUACCUGGUCAGUACCUGGAUAUGAGGCCACAUGGAGAAAACUGGGUUGCUGUUAGUGA
rnacentral:rRNA from 1 species